ensembl:snRNA U6 U6 spliceosomal RNA
AUGCUUGCUUCAGCACAUACACUAAAAUUGAAAUGAUACAGAGAAGAUAAGCAUGGCCCCUAUGCAAGGAUGACAUGCAAAUUCAAGUACAUAUUUCACUUGUAU